UGGACCAAAGGUCGCGCCGGUGAAGGGCGCGGUGGUGGCGCAGGCGGCGAGCCCCAAGCGGCGGCCGCGGCGCUGGAAUCCACGGGCGGACGCCUGCCGCGUGGCCGAGCGUGAUGUGACACUUUGUCGCUCGCACGCGGCGAGGCUGCCAGCCCUCGCCCCUCCGUCGGGCGGGGUAGUCAAACGCAAUG
rnacentral:misc_RNA from 1 species